GUGAACUUAUAUUUAGAUAAAAGUUGGUCAUCAUUUACAUGACGAUAAUCACACAUACCAAACCAAAUUCAAUUGAGUAAAGGGCACCAAGCUUCUGACUAUUCCAUAGAACCAUCUGCCAGAACAAGAGUGUGCCUCCAUCCGCUUUCUCAGUUGCAGAUAUUUAUUUAUGUGAACAGACUCCACGGAAUCAAAUAGUGCAAUCAGCUACAUCAAAGAAAGAGGCACAUACCUAGCUGUUUAUCUGUUGAGACGACCGAUUUGCAGCCUAGCUCGCUCGGUCUCGUAUCACGUCCAAAUCCAUCUCUUCGGGGUCAGUAGCUUGAAUCAUGUAAUGGACACCAUCGAGCUCCUGCUGGAAUUUAUCCUUGGAUGUAGCAUACAACAUCUUGGCACGUAUACGGGAGACAGAUGGAGACCAUGCAAUGAAGAAGAU
rnacentral:misc_RNA from 1 species